AGCUCUUUCUGGCCUUUUGGCUCUGAUCAAGUGUAGUAACUGUUCCUGCCUUUGUAAUGACUGGCACGUGCCUACGGGUACAUAGAUCGGUUAAACAGUUUUUGGAAACAGUCUGGUGGCCGCUGAACUUCGUUCAUGCCGCCGGUCACAGUGUCGCCAGUAUUGCACUGCCUCUGGCUGACGCAAACUUCAU
rnacentral:snRNA from 1 species